rnacentral:rRNA from 1 species
AUUGAACGCUGGCGGCAUGCUUUACACAUGCAAGUCGAACGGCAGCGCGGGGCAACCUGGCGGCGAGUGGCGAACGGGUGAGUAAUAUAUCGGAACGUACCCAGAAGUGGGGGAUAACGUAGCGAAAGUUACGCUAAUACCGCAUACGAUCUACGGAUGAAAGUGGGGGACCUUCGGGCCUCAUGCUUUUGGAGCGGCCGAUAUCUGAUUAGCUAGUUGGUGAGGUAAAGGCUCACCAAGGCGACGAUCAGUAGCUGGUCUGAGAGGACGACCAGCCACACUGGGACUGAGACACGGCCCAGACUCCUACGGGAGGCAGCAGUGGGGAAUUUUGGACAAUGGGCGCAAGCCUGAUCCAGCAAUGCCGCGUGAGUGAAGAGAGCCUUCGGGUUGUAAGGCUCUUUUGUCAGGGAAGAAACGGCCGAGGAUAAUACCUUCGGCUAAUGACGGUACCUGAAGAAUAAGCACCGGCUAACUACGUGCCAGCCGCCGCCGUAA